ACUGGAGUUUGAUCCUGGCUCAGAUUGAACGCUGGCGGAAUGCUUUACACAUGCAAGUCGAACGGUAGAGGGGGCAACCCCUUGAGAGUGGCGAACGGGUGAGUAAUAUAUCGGAACGUGCCCAGUCGUGGGGGAUAACGUAGCGAAAGUUACGCUAAUACCGCAUACGAUCUAAGGAUGAAAGCGGGGGAUCGCAAGACCUCGCGCGAUUGGAGCGGCCGAUAUCAGAUUAGGUAGUUGGUGGGGUAAAGGCUCACCAAGCCAACGAUCUGUAGCUGGUCUGAGAGGACGACCAGCCAUACUGGAACUGAGACACGGUCCAGACUCCUACGGGAGCAGCAGUGGGGAAUUUUGGACAAUGGACGCAAGUCUGAUCCAGCCCAUUCCCGCGUGCAGGAU
rnacentral:rRNA from 1 species